rnacentral:lncRNA from 1 species
AUUGGAUAUGUGAAUUGGACUUUCGGUAUCCAAUAUCUAGGUAGUAGUAUCACAUAUAGAGAAAUUAUAAGGUGUUAUCAUAUAAGCACCUUGACCAGCAACUAAUUAUUUAUUUCUCUUUUGCCUAUUUGGGUCAUAGUCUGCUUGACUCGGUUUAGCCCUAAAUUUUUUAGCUAAAUUGGGCUCAAGAUCAAUGUUCAACUUCUGAUACUGCCC